GAAGGUGUAACUCAGUGGUAGAGUGCAUACCUAGCAUGCAUGAGGUCCUGGGUUCAAUCCCCAGUACUACCA
rnacentral:tRNA from 1 species